UUUACCUUAGCUGGAUCAUGUAAUAGCAAUAAUAGCAUUUUAAAUGAUACACCUUUGGUCGUGUUUCAGGUCAGAGAAGUUUCAUCAAAUGGACCCAAUAUACCACCAGAACCGAGCCCUCAGGAGUCACACAAAGCCUUCGUGAGGGAGAUGAAGCACCCCAUUCUGCGGCCCGGUUACGUUCCCAUCCCUGUCUUCCAUGAGGGCGCGGAACUGAGGCAGCAACAGCAUCCGUGUUAUUCCUACAUCCAGCCCAACGCCGCACAGAGCCUCCGGUUGGACGGGCGGACACCUUCCCCGACACCAGGGCUCCACUGCCGGCCCAGAUCCCCUUUACACGGCGCCACAAACAGCUGCUCCGCUGAGCCUGGAAAGGCCGGCUCGCCUGUCUCACAAACUGCAGAGGUUUGAUAUCCGGAUGCUUGCGGCGAGACUUUGAAAUCCGUAAGCGAAAUUGUCGCAUUUCUGUCACUGUUUCAAUUUGCAAUGUUUUUUUUCAAGGUCUACACCGCCCCGCAUCACCAACCCCCGCGGCCUAGCAGCACUGGUCUUCAAGCGGGUUACAUCCCCAUACCGGUGAUCCAUGAGGGUGGAGGAGGCCAAACACAGACGCAGCCUCAGUUGAAUCCUUCCGUCUACUCCCAGCGCGUCCCCUACUCAGAGCACCAGCAGCCCUUCUACCGCCUUCAGUCUGACGAAUGGCCCGGCUACUCUGCGGCGAUGCCGCCUGCCCGGGAGAGAGCCUCUCCGAUUCCCCAGCAUCGCGAUGCUACUUCUAUUCACCUCCAACCUCAUAUUAGAAGCCAGUCACCUAUUGUAACGCAGGUCGGGCUGGGAGAGAGACCACAGGCACAGCAGCAUGUCCUCACCAGAGAGCCACCCCAGAAAAUGGAGCAGGAGCAAAAAGGCCCUCAGCAGAAACCAGAGAGCGUGCAGCACCCACAGUCGCUGCCCACGUUUGCUGACGUCCAAAAGCCUCAACAGCCUCAACAGUUUCAACAGCCUCAACAGUUUCAACAGCCUCAACAGUAUCAGCAGUAUCAGCAGCCUCAACAGCUCCAACAGCCUCAACAGUUUCAACAGCCUCAACAGUUUCAGCAGCCUCAACAGUUUCAACACGCACCACCU
ensembl:lncRNA